AUUGAACGCUGGCGGCAGGCCUAACACAUGCAAGUCGAACGAGUGGCGGACGGGUGAGUAAUGUCUGGGCAACUGCCUGAUGGAGGGGGAUAACUACUGGAAACGGUAGCUAAUACCGCAUACCAUCGGAUGUUCCCCGAUGGGAUUAGCUAGUAGGUGGGGUAACGGCUCACCUAUGCGACGAUCCCUAGCUGGUCUGAGAGGAUGACCAGCCACACUGGGACUGAGACACGGUGCAGAGGCCUACGGGAGGCAGCAGUGGGGAAUAUUGCACAAUGGGCGCAAGCCUGAUGCAGCCAUGCCGCGUGUAUGAAGAAGGCCUUCGGGUUGUAAAGUACUUACAGCGGGGAGGCGUUACCCGCAGAAGAAGCACCGGCUAACUCCGUGCCAGAAGCCGCGGUAAUUC
rnacentral:rRNA from 1 species